rnacentral:rRNA from 1 species
AAUGAACGUUGGCGGCGUGGAUUAGGCAUGCAAGUCGAGCGCUCAUAGCAAUAUGGGAGCGGCGAACGGCGUAGUAAUAUGUAGGAACGUACCCUCGGGUCGGGGAUAGCCAUGGGAAACUGUGGGUAAUACCCGAUAAUCUCUGCGGAGCAAAGGUGUGAUUCCGCCUGAGGAGCGGCCUACACGAUAUUAGCUAGUUGGUAGGGUAAUGGCCUACCAAGGCUACGAUGUCUAGGGGGUGUGAGAGCAUGGCCCCCCACGACCGGAACUGAGAUACUGUCCGGACACCUACGGGUGGCUGCAGUCGAGAAUCUUCCGCAAUGGACGAAAGUCUGACGGAGCGACGCCGCGUGCGGGAUGAAGGCCCUUGGGUUGUAAACCGCUGUCAGAGGGGAUGAAAUCUUCGGAGGUGCUCCUCCAAAGUUGACAGAGCCUCAAAGGAAGCACGGGCUAAGUACGUGCCAGCAGCCGCGGUAAUGUCUGUACU